rnacentral:rRNA from 1 species
UGGGGAAUAUUGCACAAUGGGCGCAAGCCUGAUGCAGCCAUGCCGCGUGUAUGAAGAAGGCCUUCGGGUUGUAAAGUACUUUCAGCGGGGAGGAAGGCGAUAAGGUUAAUAACCUUGUCGAUUGACGUUACCCGCAGAAGAAGCACCGGCUAACUCCGUGCCAGCAGCCGCGGUAAUACGGAGGGUGCAAGCGUUAAUCGGAAUUACUGGGCGUAAAGCGCACGCAGGCGGUCUGUCAAGUCGGAUGUGAAAUCCCCGGGCUCAACCUGGGAACUGCAUUCGAAACUGGCAGGCUAGAGUCUUGUAGAGGGGGGUAGAAUUCCAGGUGUAGCGGUGAAAUGCGUAGAGAUCUGGAGGAAUACCGGUGGCGAAGGCGGC